rnacentral:rRNA from 1 species
AUUGAACGCUGGCGGCAGGCCUAACACAUGCAAGUCGAGCGGAUGAAGGGAGCUUGCUCCUGGAUUCAGCGGCGGACGGGUGAGUAAUGCCUAGGAAUCUGCCUGGUAGUGGGGGAUAACGUCCGGAAACGGGCACUAAUACCGCAUACGUCCUGAGGGAGAAAGUGGGGGAUCUUCGGACCUCACGCUAUCAGAUGAGCCUAGGUCGGAUUAGCUAGCUGGUGGGGUAAAGGCCUACCAAGGCGACGAUCCGUAACUGGUCUGAGAGGAUGAUCAGUCACACUGGAACUGAGACACGGUCCAGACUCCUACGGGAGGCAGCAGUGGGGAAUAUUGGACAAUGGGCGAAAGCCUGAUCCAGCCAUGCCGCGUGUGUGAAGAAGGUCUUCGGAUUGUAAAGCACUUUAAGUUGGGAGGAAGGGCAGUAAGUUAAUACCUUGCUGUUUUGACGUUACCAACAGAAUAAGCACCGGCUAACUUCGUG